ensembl:snRNA U6 U6 spliceosomal RNA
UGGUCCCUGUUGACUCAAAAAAUAUUCUGCCUACAAUACAGAGAAGUUGAGCAUGGUUUCUGCACAAGGAUGCCAUAUGAAUUCAUGAAGUGUUCCAUAUUUUU